rnacentral:rRNA from 1 species
AUUAUACAGCGAAACUGCGAAUGGCUCAUUAUAUAAGUUAUCGUUUAUUUGAUAGUACUUUACUACUUGGAUAACCGUGGUAAUUCUAGAGCUAAUACAUGCUAAAAAUCCCGACUUCGGAAGGGAUGUAUUUAUUAGAUUAAAAACCAAUGCCCUUUGGGCUCCUUGGUGAAUCAUGAUAACUUCUCGAAUCGCAUGGCCUUGCGCCGGCGAUGGUUCAUUCAAAUUUCUUCCCUAUCAACUUUCGAUGUUUGGGUAUUGGCCAAACAUGGUCGCAACGGGUAACGGAGGGUUAGGGCUCGACCCCGGAGAAGGAGCCUGAGAAACGGCUACUACAUCCAAGGAAGGCAGCAGGCGCGCAAAUUACCCAAUCCCGACUCGGGGAGGUAGUGACAAUAAAUACUGAUACGAGGCUCUUUUGGGCCUUGUAAUUGGAAUGAGUACAAUUUAAAUCUCUUAACGAGGAACAAUUGGAGGGCAAGUCUGGUGCCAGCAGCCGCGGUAAUUCCAGCUCCAAUAGCGUAUAUUAAAGUUGUUGUGGUUAAAAAGCUCGUAGUUGAACCUUGGGCCUGGCUGGCCGGUCCGCCUCACCGCGUGUACUGGUCCGGCCGGGCCUUUCCCUCUGUGGAACCUCAUGCCCUUCACUGGGUGUGACGGGGAAGCAGGACUUUUACUGUGAAAAAAUUAGAGUGCUCCAAGCAGGCCUAUGCUCGAAUACAUUAGCAUGGAAUAAUGAAAUAGGACGUGCGGUUCUAUUUUGUUGGUUUCUAGGACCGCCGUAAUGAUUAAUAGGGACAGUCGGGGGCAUCAGUAUUCAAUUGUCAGAGGUGAAAUUCUUGGAUUUAUUGAAGACUAACUACUGCGAAAGCAUUUGCCAAGGAUGUUUUCAUUAAUCAGGAACGAAAGUUAGGGGAUCGAAGACGAUCAGAUACCGUCGUAGUCUUAACCAUAAACUAUGCCGACUAGGGAUCGGACGAUGUUAUUUUUUGACUCGUUCGGCACCUUACGAGAAAUCAAAGUGUUUGGGCUCCAGGGGGAGUAUGGUC